rnacentral:rRNA from 1 species
GAUUAACGCUAGCGGCAGGCAUAAUACAUGCAAGUUGAACGGCAGCACAGGUAGCACUACUGGGUGGCGAGUGGCGCACGGGUGCGUAACACGUAUGCAACCUACCCUAUACAGGCGAAUAACCUUUAGAAAUGAGGGCUAAUACGCCGUAGUAUUACAGAUGGGCAUCUAUUUGUAAUUAAAGAUUUAUCGGUAUAGGAUGGGCAUGCGGCCCAUUAGUUAGUUGGUAAGGUAACGGCUUACCAAGACGAUGAUGGGUAGGGGAUCUGAGAGGACUUACCCCCACACUGGUACUGAGACACGGACCAGACUCCUACGGGAGGCAGCAGUAAGGAAUAUUGGGCAAUGGCCGCGAGGCUGACCCAGCCAUGCCGCGUGCAGGAAGACGGCCUUAUGGGUUGUAAACUGCUUUUAUACGGGAAUAAUAGAGUGUACGCGUACAUUUAUGCAAGUAUCGUAUGAAUAAGCAUCGGCUAACUCCGUG